rnacentral:rRNA from 1 species
GUGUCAGCCGCCGCGGUAAUACAGAGGUGGCAAGCGUUGUUCGGAUUUAUUGGGCGUAAAGGGUCCGUAGGCGGCCUAGAAAGUCGGAUGUGAAAUCCCACAGCUUAACUGUGGAACUGCAUUCGAAACUUCUAGGCUCGAGUGUGAUAGGGGUAUAGGGAAUUCCCGGUGUAAGAGUGAAAUCUGUAGAGAUCGGGAGGAACACCAGUCGCGUAGGCGCUAUACUGGAUCACUACUGACGCUGAGGGGCGAAAGCCAGGGGAGCAAACGGGAUUAGAUACCCCCGUAGUCC